rnacentral:rRNA from 1 species
CGUAGGAGGCGAGCGUUAUCCGGAUUCACUGGGCGUAAAGCGCGUGCAGGCGGUUUGGUAAGUUGGGCGUGAAAGCUCCCGGCUCAACUGGGAGAGGUCGUUCAAAUACUACCAGACUUGAGAGUAGAAGAGGAAGAUGGAAUUCCCGGUGUAGUGGUGAAAUGCGUAGAUAUCGGGAGGAACACCAGUGGCGAAGGCGAUCUUCUGGUCUAUUUCUGACGCUCAGACGCGACAGCUAGGGGUAGUAAACGGGAUUAGAGACCCCGGUAAUCCCUAGCCGUAAACGAUGUGAACUUGGCGUCGGUGGCUUAAACACCAUCGGUGCCGAAGCAAACGCGAUAAGUUCACCGCCUGGGGACUACGGCCGCAAGGGUUA